CAAGCCUUCUGGUGCUGGAUGCUCUCAGGAGUGACACUUAUUACCAAGAUAUCUCUUUACAUCUUCUGCUGUUUUUUGAGGGGAGGAAAAGCAGUCCUGCUUCAGGUUUUCUGCACACUAGUUUAUCUGAAAGGGCCUUUCUUAAGGAGAUCCCAAAAGAACCCUGUGCCAGCUCUCUCACCCCACCACCAUCACCACCCACUGUCCAGAAUAAUAACCAGUCCAGAUAGCGGUGUGCGGUGACGCUUCUUGAAACGCGAGUCUGUCCCGUGGUAGAGCUCUGCGGGAAGAUGCUCCGGAAUCAGAGAACUGCGCGACCACCUGAGAACCUGACUGGUUGGCAUCAUCUGAAAAGUAAUAAAUAAAGAAAAAAUGGAUCAAAAGAC